GACGAACCGUCCAAACGUUAUUCGGAAUCACUGGGCUUACAGAGUUCGUAGGCGGUCUGGAAGGUUGGGUGUGAAAUCCCUCGGCUCAACCGAGGAACUGCGCUCAAAACUGCCAGACUCGAGGGAGAUAGAGGAAAGCGGAACUGAUGGUGGAGCGGUGAAAUGCGUUGAUAUCAGCAGGAACACCGGUGGCGAAGGCGGCUUUCUGGGUCUUACCUGACGCUGAGGAACGAAAGCUAGGGGAGCGAACGGG
rnacentral:rRNA from 1 species